UCCAACACCACUAUUCCUGUGCAGUAGAGUUACUCCCCUUUACGCGGAAUUAUUACAUUGUUGUUACGGUGAAUUCGGGAGCGAUCUUUUGAGCAGUUUUACGGAUAUCGGUACGAUAAACACAGUAUUUGUUUGGCAGGAAGAGAAAUUGUCUCAUCUGGUAUCGAUGCAGAGAACAUGACUGACAAAGAUCUAUUUGACAGUGAUUAUGAUGGGGGUUCACAAAUACAUGAGCACAGUUACACUGUGAAUUCCUGGUGCUGCCAUUCCUAAUCAACCGACAUAUCAGAAUUCUGGAUAAGAAUUCAGAUUACUGGCUGCAUAUUCAACCGAAUUUUUGGGUCCUGCAUUGGUGGGGGGUAACGUGUUUCAGGCCAGAAUCCUGCCGGACCAUCCAAUUGCAAGGACAUCUAACAUAGCUGAAAUGUAUCUGUAAUGAAUUAUUAAAAGUUUGGAUAAAAAAUGUGUUCUUAAAUCAU